AUUGAACGCUGGCGGCAUGCCUUACACAUGCAAGUCGGACGGUAACAGGUCUUCGGAUGCUGACGAGUGGCGAACGGGUGAGUAAUACAUCGUAACGUGCCUAGUAGUGGGGGAUAACUACUCGAAAGAGUGGCUAAUACCGCAUGAGAUCUACGGAUGAAAGCAGGGGAUCGCAAGACCUUGCGCUACUAGAGCGGCCGAUGGCAGAUUAGGUAGUUGGUGGGAUAAAAGCUUACCAAGCCGACGAUCUGUAGCUGGUCUGAGAGGACGAUCAGCCACACUGGGACUGAGACACGGCCCAGACUCCUACGGGAGGCAGCAGUGGGGAAUUUUGGACAAUGGGCGCAAGCCUGAUCCAGCAAUGCCGCGUGCAGGAUGAAGGCCUUCGGGUUGUAAACUGCUUUUGUACGGAACGAAAAGCCCCGGGUUAAUACCCUGGGGUCAUGACGGUACCGUAAGAAUAAGCACCGGCUAAUUACGUGCCAGCAGCCGCCGUAA
rnacentral:rRNA from 1 species